rnacentral:lncRNA from 1 species
AAACUCUAAUGUUCUUUUGAGAGAAUUGAAGUUUUAAAAAAGGGAAAUAACAUAGGAUUAUAUUAUAGUAUUAUGUUAUAAUGAAAUUAGUUUUACUUUAAAGGCUUCCUGAAAAGGUAUUGGAGACUUCUGGGAGUUGAGAUGGGGGGCGGUCCCUGGACCACCCAUUGAGAACCACUGAACACAAGGAAAUGGAUUAUUCAUAGUUCAAAGAUACAAAUGAAGAGCUUUCCUUUUCGCUUCAAAUUUUCACUUGCUAAUAUGCGACUGCAUGUUUGAGUGUGAUGACUUUUUGGUGCAAAUAUUCUGCUGUCAAGAUACCCAGCUUAAAACAGCUUUGCCAUAGAAGAACUUUAAGAUUGCAAAAAUCAGGCAUUUAAAAUGCUAAAGAAUGAACAAAACUGCAGUGUCACAGAACUUCCAUGAAGACAAUAGAAGGAUGAAUAGUAAAGUGUGCUAAUCCCACCUAAAGUUAGUAGGGCCCAAAACCAAGAGAAG